rnacentral:rRNA from 1 species
ACUCCUACGGGAGGCAGCAGUGGGGAAUAUUGGACAAUGGGGGCAACCCUGAUCCAGCCAUGCCGCGUGAGUGAAGAAGGCCCUAGGGUCGUAAAGCUCUUUCAACUGUGAAGAUAAUGACGGUAGCAGUAGAACGAACCCGCUACUCCGUGCCAGCAGCCGCGGUAAUACGGAGGGGUUAGCGUUGUUCGGAAUUACUGGGCGUAAAGCGCACGUAGGCGGACUA